rnacentral:rRNA from 1 species
GAUGAACGCUGGCGGCGUGCCUAAUACAUGCAAGUCGAGCGAACGGACGAGAAGCUUGCUUCUCUGAUGUUAGCGGCGGACGGGUGAGUAACACGUGGAUAACCUACCUAUAAGACUGGGAUAACUUCGGGAAACCGUAGCUAAUACCGGAUAAUAUUUUGAACCGCAUGGUUCAAAAGUGAAAGACGGUCUUGCUGUCACUUAUAGAUGGAUCCGCGCUGCAUUAGCUAGUUGGUAAGGUAACGGCUUACCAAGGCAACGAUGCAUAGCCGACCUGUGAGGGUGAUCGGCCACACUGGAACUGAGACACGGUCCAGACUCCUACGGGAGGCAGCAGUAGGGAAUCUUCCGCAAUGGGCGAAAGCCUGACGGAGCAACGCCGCGUGAGUGAUGAAGGUCUUCGGAUCGUAAAACUCUGUUAUUAGGGAAGAACAUAUGUGUAAGUAACUGUGCACAUCUUGACGGUACCUAAUCAGAAAGCCACGGCUAACUACGUG